ACAAAUUAUCAUAUUUGCUACUUAGAAAUUUCUGCUAUGAUAUAGUUAAAACACUAGUCCCAAGCAAGCAGGUUUAUUGUGCAUUAUGGUUGGUAUUAGUCUGAUGAGACAUUAUUGCUCAUGAAUGUUGACAAUGUUUGUUGCAGUACAAACAAAUACACGUAGUUGUGAAUAGAAUUUGUUUAAGGAGCGAAUCUAUAAAAACUUGUAUGUGUGCUAUUUAUUGUGUUUGAGGAA
rnacentral:lncRNA from 1 species